CCAUUUUCAUAUAAUAAGUGAGCAAGCUAUAGAAAAGAUAAUGUUAUUAAGACAGUCAUAAGGAGGGGCAUCCGGGUGGCUCAGUCUGUUAAGCCUCUGCCUUCAGCUGGGGUCAUGAUCUCCAGAUCCU